rnacentral:pre_miRNA from 1 species
AAUAAGAUGAUUUUUCAGUUUUUUGAUACAAUGUUUGACUCUUUGUCUUAUUUGAAAUUUUUUUAUGAUUAAUUUUUUUAUUCUUAAUAGAUGAUAAAACAUGAAUAGUACUUUAUGUCCGACUAAUUUUUUAAGUUUUUGUAUAAAUUUUCAAAUAAGAUAAAUGGUUAAACGUUGGACAUGGAAAAAC